GUGGAAAUGAUGAUCCUUUCCCCAAAUGAUCGACUUUGAUUAUAACAGUGCUGUUUUUAUUUCUCUUUGGAGAAUCAAGCCAAGAAUCUGAUCCAU